rnacentral:lncRNA from 1 species
AGUUCUUUGGAGAAGCAGUGUGGAGUCCUAAAAAAGGAGGCUGAGUCUUACCGUUGAGGUCGGUGCCGGUAGAGAAUGGGAGGGAGUCUGCAGGAGCCAAGCACCCUAAAGAAGAGGAAGAGAGCACGUUGCUGAGAUUUGAACAGCGACCUGAGAGGUCAGACUGGACCCAGGCCUCCUCAAGAAGCAACGGAGAUGGAGAUUCUUCCCUUUUCCCGGCCCUUCGGUCCUUCUCCGGAAGAGCUACUCUGGCCAGCUCUGGGCUAGGGGCAGUGGCCGAAGAGAAGGGGAAAGUAAGGUUGAGAGCACUGGAUUCGAGCCCAGCAGAGAGCGGUUUCUAGGCCCCACCCACCCUCCCCCCAAGGUUUUCUUAAAAGUGAAUCUUGGCGUGGUUUUUGCAGACCAAACAUCAGAAACCCGGGAGAGGAAUCUAGAGAGUGCAUUUUGUUCUGUUUUGCUUUAAUAAUAAGUAGUGUGCCUUGUUAAACACCCUAUUACCCCCGCCCCCUUCUCCCACAACCUCUCUGGAGAAGAGUCUUUCCGGAGCGCCUAGAAACCUAAAAAUAACACGCCACGCUGAAGGUCCGGAGAAGCCACCGGCCACCUCUACAGAGUGGGGAUGCUGCCCGUGAAAGGUUUUUAGGUUUUUGCCUGUUGCUCUUAGGGAUCCAGGGGCAGAGUUUUGCCUUAGGUGCUGAAGACAGCUGCUGGAGCCUGUUGCUUUUUCACACCACAGAUACUUCAUGCUGCCUAAUAUUCUACCGAGCCAGCCUAGGGGACUUGGAUCUGUCUCGCCUGGGGCUAAGAGAAUAGUUUCUCUAAGAAGAAAACAGUUCUAAUUCAAAGAUGCUGGAUCUGGCUUCCUUUAAAGCCUGAAGUCGCUGAAGUGGCCAUAGAACUAUGGGGUCCAGAGGACUGCCAGUCUCAGCCAGCCUUUAGGCUGGAGAGAGGCUGUGGGCCUGCUUGGGGACUAAAAUGGAUGAAUAAGAAACCUGUAAGAAAUGUAAACAGAUGGAAUGGCAAGGAGGAGAGCGCUGGAGAUUGUUCAGGUGUGAGCUGAGGUUUCUGAGUUUGUACUGGGGAUGCCUUUGCACACAGUGAGGUGCCCCCUCCCUAAGUGGCUCUUGUUUUGCACAAACAGCCCCACCCUGCGCACACACUGUGGGUCUCAGUAGGGACUGAGGGUGUAGGUGCUCAGGUUUUGGGGGUGGUGGUGAAGGGGCACUCAGAAUCAACAAGACAGGGCGGGGAAAAUCAAAAUCAACCAAGGAACCAGCCUUCCAUUUCUGAAAAGCCGCGCUCUGGCCCCCGUGCUUCAGUUCUGAAAUACGAAUAAAUGGAGUCAGAUCCCGUACUACACUCCGGGGACAGAGUUUUAAUGUAAACGUAAAAUAUGCUUGUAAUAAUCACUUGUGGGCCCUGAAGCGCCACUAGAAUGAAUCUCUGUUUAAUUAUAGGGCAUGAGAGGAGUAUUACCAGCUAAUUAAACCCCAUCCUAUUUGUAA